ACCUGGCUGGCUCAGUCGGUAGAGCAUGUGAUUCUUGAUUUCAGGGUCGUGAGUUCAAGCCCCAUGUUGGGUG
rnacentral:tRNA from 1 species